rnacentral:misc_RNA from 1 species
GAUGAAGAACGCAGCGAAAUGCGAUAAGUAAUGUGAAUUGCAGAAUUCAGUGAAUCAUCGAAUCUUUGAACGCACAUUGCGCCCCCCAGUAUUCUGGCGGGCAUGCCUGUUCGAGCGUCAUUUCAACCAUCAAGCCCUGCUUGUGUUGGGGUCCUGCGGCUGCCCGCAGGCCCUGAAAGCCAGUGGCGGGCUCGCUAGUCACACCGAGCGCAGUAGCACAUCUCGCUCAGGGCGUGCGGCGGGCUCCAGCCGUUAAAGCACCCACCUUUCGCAAGGUUGACCUCGGAUCAGGUAGGAAUACCCGCUGAACUUAAGCAUAUCAAUAAGCGGAGGA